rnacentral:lncRNA from 1 species
UUGAACCCCUGGGCUCAAGCGAUCCCCCUGCUUAGACCUCCCAAAGUGCUAGGAUUACAGGCAUAAGCUAUGGUGCUCCGCAAAGAAAGGGAGUUCUGGUCUGGGUCUGAAGUAGGACUAGGAGUUCAGGGCAGAUGUGGGAAUCUGAAGGAUCCUGAGAUGGUGCCAAAGAAGUGGAGAGGUGAGGCCCAGCCCUGGGGCUUGUAAAGCAGGAGGGGAGCUUCUGGGGAGAGAGUGGAGGUUCUAAAACAAAGUCUGAUUAAUGUAAGGUAGGCCUUCAGGGUCCUAGAAGACAGGCCUUGAAAUCCAGGCAUCCCCCAGUAGGCCUGGGGAUCAUGCACAGAAGACUUGGGGCCUUAGAAGAAAGAUCUAGAAUUCCAGGGAGAGCUUGAGAGCCCUUAAUGGGUUUGGGGGUUCUAAAAGUGAGGUUUAGAGCUCCAAGAGGUGGGGUCUCAGGUCCUGGGGAAGAGUGUCUUAGCCAAAGAGUCUUCAAGAUGAAACCUAAGGCCCUGGUGCGGGACUCAAGGUCCCAGGGGCGUGAAGUCUGGAAGCCCUGGAUGAGGACUAAUCUGUCACGGCGGCGCCCUACCUCUUCUUCCGGCCCGGCUCGUCAUGGCGGCGCCCUGAGUAGCCACUUCCGCCCUCUUCUGGCUAAAUUGCUUCAUCCCUAUUUCCGGCUUGCCAUGGCAGCGCUCGGGGUUUAACGGAAGUAAGCAAUGGAAAGUAUGGUGGUGCCUCGGGUCCAAAGAGAAUGCGCCGCUGAGUUGCGCGGCACCUGACGGGAUUGAGCCUCAGACACAAGCGCUCCAAAUCUCCGACUGUAGCUGGUGGGAAGCGCCUGCUGUUGCUGCAGCGUCUCAACAUGUUGUUCCCAUUUUCGUUGGGUGCUGUAGCGGUAGGCUGUUGGGCUCAGGGAUAGGGGGCCUGAUUCCUAACGCCGCGCUGCCACCAUCGGCCUUGCGCAGACGCUGAUAAUCCCCCUGGCACCCAGGUUCAUGCGAGCGCUUGGAACAGGAGGGAAGAGGGAGUCAAACCAAGAGCCGAACUAAUUCGGCUUGGGCCUGCCAUUUACCCAGCCUGGGACCCAGACGUUUCCCCAUCCCUUAGCGUACGCCAGGACAGACAUGGCGUUUAAUCCUGACUCCAUGAGACUAUCAAGCUAGUUACUUCCUCUCUUUGUAAUUAAUUCCUCCUAAUGUAGCAACAUUUCCCCCUUCCUUCUCAUCUGUCUUAAAAGUGUGAGGUUAGACCUGGGCGUGAGUUUCCCCACAUAAGAGACUGGAUAUCCCCUGGUCAGAGAACUGAGCAUCAGUCCUGCCGUUUCGUUUGCAGAUCUUUCAAGACUCUAGUCAAAAUGAGCAGAACAUUUUGCAGUUAAUCAUAGAGUUGAAGAUGAACGAGAAGAUGAACGAGAGCUACUUGAUUGUGAACUAGUAACGACCACUUGGAGUCGCAGUGUGUCUGUAAAAUGAUGAUGACAGUGACAUCAUAGAGGACAUAGUGCAAGUGAACAGUUUGAUACUGAGCUUGGAGCCUCAGUAGUUCUGGAUAAGUGAGAGCUGUACGGGAGGUUGUAACCAUGAGCUACCCUGGUUGGCAGUUGACAUCCGAGGACCAGCACUGGUCAUCGCACAGAAAGAAAACUUUACACCUUGAGAUCCCUCCAUUCUUCUUAAACUUCCAAGUGUAUGUUUGAUGGGAGAAGAGGGGAAGGGAUCAACAUUUAAAGGCUCUGGAAGGAGUCAGAUAACUGUUUUUGGCUUCAAAUGUAGAAUGAAUCCCUAGA